GAAAAAAACUACUGGUACAAUACGGGAUGAGUCUGGCAGACAUUAUGUUGAGUGAAAGAAGAAAGAUACAAAAGAUUACAUACAGUAUGAUUCUGUCCUGUUUAAUUGGAUGUUCAAGACAGGUUAAACUAAUCUAUGGGGAUAGAAAUUAGGACAGUGGAGGUCUAGAGUGGGAUUGACUGGAAAGGAGUAUGCAGGAACUUUAAGGGAGUGAUGGAUAUGUUCUGUGUCUUGAUUUGGGCAUAGGUAUUUGUCAAAACUUGUCAAACAGUUCCCUUAAUAUCUAUACAUCUCACAAUAUACAAAUUAUAUCUUAAGAUUAUUUAAAAAAAGAUUUUAAAACCCUAAAUGAAUAGGCCUUUAGAUAUAAGAGACAGGGAGAGGCAUAAAAGGUGAAUGGCUUUGUUUUUACCAUUUGCCAAUUCCUGCAUGCUACAGUGUUCUACUUAAGGAAACUAGACAAUCAUUUUUAGACAAUCAUUCUUGAUUGUGCCUGCUGCUUGUACAGGACAGGUCGACUCUUUAAACAAUCCUAACCUAAGCUAUUAAAGGGAGGAAAUGCAUAUGUCUUUGUUGGUGAGGGGGUGGCAGCAAAACAAAUACUUGGAUGACUAUUACCUUGAAACCUUCCUGAAGGAUGAUCUUUUGUAACCUAAACUAGCCUUUGAAAGCCCACAGUGCUUAGCACUGUUUAAUAUGUGGAGAGGAAUAAGGGAGUUACACUGGAAAAGCAGAAUUGCAGGAUGAAUUAUCCUGGAAAUGUCCAGCACUCUGUGGGCGUAGAAAAGGUGUGUCCCAGAACAAAGCCCUGAACUAGGUCAGAAGUCCUGAGUUCUGGUGUCCCUCCUCACUCACUCAUUCUGUGACCUUGCACAGGACACUUAACUUCUCGGGGCUACUGUUUCCUCAUCUUUAGGCCUGACAACCCUUGCUUUGCCUGUCCCCACAGAGUUAUUUUGAGGUUAAGUAAGAUUAUAAACGUAAAUAUACUUUUAAAGUGCUCUAUCAUUAAGAAAUGUAAAAUGCUACAGACUUUUUUUUUUUUUUUUUGGUAAGGAUAAGUGGUAGAAAAAAAAUCUCAGUAAUGAGUGUGACUCGUCUCUCAUGCAGACAUUUUGGAACGAGUUUACACAUUCCUGGUUGAAAAAACCGUCUGGCCAAAAAAGAUUAAAUAAAGAAAUGUCAAGUCCUGACACUCCUUCUAAGGCCAGUGAAUGCUUUGGUGGGGAGCCAGGGUUAUCUUGUUGGAUUCCUUCUAAACUUGGCAAUAGAGUCCUCCAAACUCUUGAGUGCCUUCUUCACAGAGAUGCUGAGUAAUGUCACCCCGGAUUCGAGUGUGCCCUGAUCUGCACAGGUGCUUGUGUCUUCACUAUUUCUUCUGACAGUUUUGACAGCCGUGCAGCUGAUCCGGCUCAAAGGAGGGAUCAGAGGAGGAGCUUUGUCCCGUAUUCCUGGGCCAGGGGGAGAAAGGAGCCUGUUUUUUUUCACAGCAGAAUGGGCAGAGCGUGAAGCCACGGGUCCUGUAGGAGCGGCUGGGAUUGAGGCAGGAUGGCUGGGCGGAUGAUUCGAUCUGACUUGGGCCACCUCCCCAACCCCCAUUAGGAGUCUGAAAUGCUGUGGUGUCCUGGACACCUGAGUUGGAUGUAGGGACUGAAGCGGAUUUUGGUGCUUAGGGAGUAAUUGUUGUUGGCUGAGGUUAUGGGAUUUCUAAGACAGUCAUGAAGCAGAAAUGGAAUCAGGCUGGUAAGUCCAGUGUCCCAGACCCCAGUGACAGAAGAAAGUGGGCAUUCCCACUCAGCUCACGGCCCCCAGCUCGGAAGCAGAGGGAAACGGGAAGAUAGCACAGAUGAAAACACCAGCUCCACCCAAAUGACUCAAAUGAAGGCGCGUCUCUGAGUCUUGGUGUUUUCCUGAAACUCUGAGGCCUGAACGUAGAAGAGUUGUCCAGCUGUCUGUGGGAGCCACAGAAAUCUCCAGAAAGCUUCUGACCCGCCCCCUUCUCACUCUGGCUGUUUCCUUCUUUGGUGAUGAGAGACACUUGAGAGACAGCAGCGAAGCGGCCUGGGGACGUGCAGGUGUGCAGGGCGGGGUGUUCCCCCCCCCCCCCCAUGCACGUGGACACAAGGAGGAAGCAGUGAGAGGCGUCCUGGAUAAGAAAAGAAAAGGGGGUUGAAGUUGAAGGUACUCUGGGCAAUUAUGUAAAAACCGCGUGCUGCAUCCAUCCAGUCCAUCGUCUGCAGGCUGCCGCUCUGGGCAGGGCACGGUGCGGUGCGGCUCCCACGUUACAGCAGUGAGGGAAACCAAGUCCUUGCCUUCGGGGAGCUUCUGUGCAAUGUAAUCCAUGGCCGGCGCUAACAUCAUACAUCGUCUCAUUUAUCGACCCUGCAAAGUGGUUCCUGUUAUCCCCAUCCUACAAAUGAUGAAACAGAGCCGCAGGAGUGGGAGUGUUGGGAGGAAGCAACUUCUAAGCUAAGAAGUGAGUGGCUGGGGUCAGGACUGUGCGGCAGCUUGAAGCCCACCUGUGAGGAGGAGUCCAAGCCAGAGACAUCAAGCAGGCCCUGCCUCUGGCCUUGACUGUAUUCCUGCUGGAUGCUUGCUGCCCUGGGAGCACUGGGCACUUUGCUGCUGAGGACAUCUCCCUUUCUUCAUUGAUGGCAGACCUGCCCUGGGCAGGGGACUUUAGCCUCUUGGUAGCUCAGCUCUGACUUCUCCCUAAUUAGAUGGAGACUGUCAUCUCCUAGCCAUGCUCCUUUGUAGUCUGGGUGGAUGGGUGUCACUGUCCCUGGCAAGCCCCAUGCCUCUGUCCAGAGAGUCCAAAGACACUUGGGAACAGCCAAGCCAUGGGCUGUUGGAAGAUGGUGACUCCCAUACUGUCCUGGUUUUGUGGUUUUGGGGAUUUUUUUUGAGGGGUUGCUUUGUAUCAGAACACCAAGAGAGAUUCUGUUGGACACCCAUAUUCAAGAGACACUUUCUACCCAGCUUUGGAACUUCGGGUCUGGAGGGAACUGACAUUCUGGGAUCCCCACAGCUUCUCUCAUAGCCUCCAGCCAUCAUCCCCCCCACCAGGCAACAAAUUGUCUUAUAACAUAGCCUUGAAAAAUCCCCAUAAAUAGCCCUUUACUUUGGUACAACAUAUUAUAGUCCCAAAGCAUUCUUGCAUCCUCAGCCCAGAGGACCCUCUUCACGUCAGCCCUGUAAGGCCGCUAGCUCAGAGAUGAUUAGACCCAUUUUACAGAUGAGGAAUAUUAGGUCACAUGGUUGCUGAGUCACAUUGGCAUUGGCUACACCGUUAGAUUUCAUGGACUGGGUGGGAGGUGGCCUCUGGGUCGAUGCAGGCAAGUAGAUGAAGGAACUGGAGGGGUGAGUGAUCAUAGUUCCUCCAUGCCCAGAAAGUCCCACCUUGAGUCACUUGCCUUUCCCUGGCCCUGAUCAAGACACCAGCAGCUUCCCUGCUGAGGGGUGGUGACUCAUCCCCUUUUCGUCACCUUCCCCAGGUACUCUCAGCCAAACCCUCUCCUCCUGGCUUUUGCAGGAUCUGACUCAAGGUCCCUUUCAGGUAAGCAGUAUCUGUGGAGCCUUCUGGUGUAAGGCCCAGUUGAAACAAGAGGAGGCAUUUGAGAUUUAUUCAUGAAGAGCAGAAUGCCAUAAACAGCAUUUGGACUCUUCAGGGAAAAGAGAGACAGGGCUACAGGGGUGGGGGCAAUUAUAUAACAGCAUUGACAAUUACAUCCUUGUGUGUCUUUAGCACCUGCUUCCAAAGAACUUUAAGUGCCUUCAGGUUUAUUAGGCUAUUUGAUCUCAUAAAAAUCCCACAAAUAGAUGGUGAUAGUUAUUAUCAUCUUUUUAUAGAUGAGGAAACUGAGGCCUAGAAAGGUGUAGUGAUUUGCUCAGGGCCUUACAACAAAGGACUGAGGGAUAAAGCUGGGUCUGUCCUAUUUCAAGACGUUUCUCUAGGUGUUUCAUGCAUGGGUCUCCCUUUUACCGUCUACAUUCCUAUGAGAUAAGGUGUGGACACAGGAGGUGACUGGCAGCAGGCUCAGAGAGUUCUGCACAAGGUCACUCAGAAACAGUGAGUCAGGCACCAUUAUAUUGAGGUCAGUUUCCUCUUUCACUUCCCCAAACAAUUGUUGGGGAGCGAGCUCACUUGUUGCCUUUCAAAGAUCAGGAGCUGAGUUAUUUGCACAGUUGCUCCUGAAGGACUUAAUAGUAGUGGUGAUCUGAAAAAGAGGUCAAGGAUCCCACCCUGGGACUCCUGCCCUCCUGACCCACCAAUGCCCCUGCCAAGUGGGAGAUGUCCCCACUAGCGCUGUCUAUUACCACAGCCUCUGCCCUGAUUUCUUGUCCUCUGGUGUCAUUCCCAUUCAAUCCUCUCCAUGACUGAUUUUCAUAAAGCUCUUCUCACCUUCAUAAAUAGUGGAACCCCAUUACUUCCAGUCUCGGCUUGGCAUUCAAGGCCCCACCCAAUCACAUCCCAAACUAUCUUCCCACGCUUGACUCCUCCCCCUCGUCCUCCUCUGAAAAACCCUGUCUUCAGCCAAGACUGUAGGACUUGCCUGGGCAUGCUUUGUGUUUUCCAACUCCACAGUUGACCGCCACACCAUUCCCUUGGCCUAGAAAUCUACUCCUACCCUCUUUGCCUGCUGGAUUUCUACUCACCCUUCAAAACUUAUGACAAAUGUGACUUCCUUUAUGAGGACCUUCUUGAUUCCACCACCAGGAAAUGAUCUUUCCUUCCUGGGAUGUCUCACUUGUUUAUAUAGGUCUCUACACAAGCAAUUCUUGGAUUGUGUGUGUUGUGGUGAUGGUGUGAAGCUUUGGGUGUUUGCAAAGCUUCAAAGAUUGCAGAAUUCUGCAAUCGUGUGUGUGUGUGUGUGUGUGUGUGUGUGUGUGUGUGUGUUUAUGUUUAUGUUUUGGUAUGAGAGGUGAGCACAGCUAUGCAGAACACUUGAACACAAAGAAGGGAUUGGACAUUUACUGGGUGUGGAAUAUGUCGAUCACGUCUGCUCUGCCAAUGAACAGAGAGCUAGAGGUCUCCCUCAGAGGAGAGAAAACACUCAUAAUAAAACUUCUAAACACACUUGGAGGAAGAAAGAGUAGAGAGAGGAAAGAAGUGAGUAAGUGUGCAUGGAUCAUUCACUAUAUUCCAGGCACAAUGUUAGAGAUGAAAUUUCAGGUGAACCAUGAGCUCACGUUACCCUUACAAUUGCUCUGCGAGGUAGGGAUUAUCGCCCCUGUUUUGUGGAUGUGUGGUUCUGAGAGUCAGGUUCCUUUGGAAAUAGACUUUGGGGAGGAAGACCUGAAUGCAGAAGAUUAAUGGAGGGAAUGCUCAUGGGACAACAUCUAUAAGGGAGUCAUGGGACUGGUAGGACCGAGCAGAGGGAGAGGUUAUAUGGCAUGGGGUCGCCAAGAAGCCUCAGCUACUUGCAUGGGGCACACCAAAGCUUGGGUGGCCCUUCAAAGAUGUUUCCCCAUCAAGGCAAGGGGGCUGAGUCAUUAUACCUCUCUGGAAAGAGGCAUCACUUAGGCAAGACAGCUAGGUCCCUUCAGCUGAGGGCAGUUCCUGGGAGGACAGCACACACUGCACAUAUGACUCCAAGCCCGAUAGGUGCCUGUCCUGUGCGCACAUAACCCUGCUGGCCAGUGGAAAGGUUGGAGACUGGCCUCGGGACUAUCUCGGUCCUCAGGCACUGUGUCCUUUCGGUUCAUCUCAGAAGACAGCUUAGCCACCCGUGCCCAACAUGCAUCUUCAGAAGGCCUCACCCCAGAAAGUUCCCAGUGGAAAUCACCCCAUGAAGAAAACGGUCUCCCCUUUUUAUGAAAGACCUCGGGUGGAUCUGGUAUCAAAUAAUUGCAGUGAGAAGGCGGGCUUUGUUGAAUCUAGUUACUGCUGUUUUCUGUUACUGUCUGGUCCUUAUUCUUUGGAAACUCUGAUCGUGGAAUCCAAGUAUGAUAUUCAAAAUAUUUAAUACCCACUAACACCACUGGGACAGCUGGAGUGGGUGCUGGCAUGCUGAAUGUGCGUCAGGCCUGGAAGGUGCUGGAGGACGAGGUUGCAGCUCCCCGUAAGUGCCGUGUACUGAGGAAGAUGCUGGCAAGGGCUUUGUGCCAAAAACAAAGAGAGGUGGGUCUACAGAUUAAACUGGACCAAAUGGUUCCAAGUAUCCAAGGUGCAGGUAUAUAUUAUAUAGGUAAGCUUCUCCAUUUUGUAAGGGCUGCAUCCUACCCAGCCCUGUAUUCCCCUCACAGCUCGUGCAGUAAAGUUUGUUCCAUGAAAUCUGUAUGACUCUGGGCAAGGCCCCAUCCUGCUCUGUGCCUCAGUGUCCCCAUAAGAGGACAGGUUUCCAAACCCUGUUUCUCCUUGAUCAGGAGAAUCUGGUGAAGCCCCCUCUGGAGGAGGGCGGUGAAGAGGCCAGGCCCAGGGCCUCUUGUCCUGCUCUCACCAGAGCAGCUUGCCUCGUAUUUGUUUAUGCUUCCAUACGGUUUCACUUAAACCAGCAUUCCUCAGCUAAAAACAAAGCCUGGGAACCACUGGGCUGCAUAUGGGAUCUGGGGUCCUUACACACAGCUCUGACAUGCUCAGAUGUGAGUGAGCGAAUAGACAAAUGGACACACGAACGAACAUGGGUGGAAGAAUGAAUGAAUGAAUGAAUGAAUGAAUGAACCAACUCUGUGCACCUAGCUAGUGCGGGUCAGGCCUUGGUUACAUGGUUCUGGACGGCCAAUGGGCCGCUGUCCUGGACAGUUUGGAAAUCUACCCCGGGCUAGGUCAGAGCUCACCCGAUGCCCUGGCAAUUGCAGGAUUUUGUCUCCGCCACAGCCACAGACCAGGCCUGGAUGCCACCAGGUCUGAAGGCACUUGUCUUCUUGGACUCUCCCAGUACCUUGACUCAGCUGAAAGAGAUACUGACAGCGGCAGCCCGAGUCACUGGCAGGUUUGACAAAAGACUCAUUGGGUUUUCUCAGUGUGUGUCCCGGGGUGUGGCACCAGGUCUGGCUUGCUUCAGCUCCCUUCCAUCCCAGGAAAAGGACUCCCAAUUUUGGCCUUGUCCUCCCUCGCUGCCUCCUGACCCCCACCUCCUCCGCUCUUCUUCUUUUCAUUCCUCUAAGGCAGUGGUUCUCGACCUCGGCUACACAUGGGAACCGCCUUAGGAAGGCUUAAAAAAUCACCAUUGCCCAGAGAUUCUGAUUUCUUGGUGUGGGUGUGGCCUUGGCAAAAGGAUAUGGAAAAAGCUCCCCCGGGUGAUUCUCAUACGCAGCCAAGGUUGAGGACCAGUGGUCUGAGAACAUGGAGGAGGGCACCCAACUCCAGCCUAGACCAUUUCUAGCUGUGGGAUUCAGAUAUGCCUGCUAGACUGGGGGAAGCCUGGGGCAUGAGCACUGACCAGCAGUACGGGGAAGAAUAGGGAAAUGGAGGGAGGUGCACCUCACUGCACCCCUGCCUCUAUCUACCCUAGCAUCUCAGCCCUGUGGGGAGAGAGGCCUCAGAAGAAGCCAAGGGCAUUUUUUUUAUAGGGCCUCUUCUGUAGGACUCAGAGAAGGCAGGCUUGUUUGGUGUCCAGGUGACACGGUGUGACCAGAGGGGGAAGGAAGGGCACAGGACACCAUGAGGUGCCAGUGCACCGAGGAUACCAGGCAGGCAGCACCACCCUUUUGGGGGGCUUUGAGACAAGGUGCCGGGCCUGGGCAGCAGCAUUCUUACAGGGCACGCCUGCAGCAAGGGACCGGGGCUGUGUGUAAGGCACGGCAUGCACCCUCCAUGACGGCCUGUUGACAGGCGCAGGCGGGGCACCCCCCCAAAGAGUCCUGCCAGCCACAGAGUGAGCCUAGGGCAGAUGGGGGCAAGCAGCAGUGAAAUGGGUAACUUCUUUGCUGGGAACCCAGCUGGGCUUACGAGAUGGUGAGGCCUGUAAACACCGGGGUCACAGAUCCAAGGCACACUCGUGAAACCGCAGUGACGGGGCGGUGGUAAGGCGACAGCAGAGAAGCAGCCACGUCCCAGCCUGCCCCGAGAUGGCCGGGUCAGGUGAUGGCCAGGCCCCCUCCGGCCCCACAGCUUUCCCACCAGGUGCUCCCCGUCCAACCUGGGUCCUUGCAGGCCUCCCCCCACUUCUCUGCAGGUGUGCUCUCAAUGUGAAUUAUUCGUCUUACUUCCUGCGCAAGUUCUUUCUCUCUUCGUUUUUUUUUUAAAUCACAUUUUCUCCCAAAUUAGAAAACCUCUUUAAUUGUUAGCAGGAGCUGGGGGUCUGUUCCUUGCAUGGACAAUAUCAUUAAACAUUGGAAAAUAAACAAACCAGGCAAGUUUAAGACACUUUCAAACCCUUUGCUUCCCAGAGGGCGUCUGGGGCCCGGGCAGGACAAGGCUCUGCUGGCCUGGGUUUACACUGUGUUGACGACUUGACCCCUCCAGCUGUGAGAAACCAAACUGACAGCGGGGGUUGUUUUUACUAAACUUUGCAGGGUCGCAAACUUGAUUUGGGAGGCAUCUGCGCUGAUUUGUGCUGAGGUCUCCCGGCGGCUGCGCCGCACGCUUCCUCCUUGGGCAGAGAGCAUGAUGGGAGUGGGCCAGUGGCUCUCCUAGCUGACAGCUGUUGUAAACCAUCUCUGUCCUCCAGACUUAUUCCACAGGGCUGGGGGAGGAGAGGAGAGCCGUGGGAGGGGGUGGUGUGUGAGAACAUUUCUUUCCAUCUUGCUGAAAUGUGAGUCUAAUGAAAUGAUAAUGAGGUUGUGGCCUUUAAGCUCCAUUGAGCUUCUUGCGCAUUGUAAUUUUACCCAGAGUGGGGCUAGUUUUUGAAAUGAUUAAAACUAUGGAUUCCUA